rnacentral:lncRNA from 1 species
AUGAAAGAGACACUAAAAAAGUAACUAUCAUUAUAUACGUAACGUCACUGUGAUACUGACCAAAUCUAAAACCUCUUUCAACUAGCUAGCUAAAUCAUCAAGAAACUCAAAUACUCAAUUAUUGGACAAUCUCAUUGUCCAUAAUCUAUAUCGACCACUUGCGUAUCUCUUCCUUUUCCUCGCACAUCUCUUUAUCUCUAAAACAGAACGCACGUUAUAAUACGUAACUCCUUUAUUGGAAAAUGUUUCAUCAAUCAACCAAAGCUGUUUAUGUGAGUAUGGUUCUCUUACCAUUUUUUUGGAUGAUAUAUAAAGUGAGUUCAAGGUAAAUACCGACAGCAAUAAGUGUACUAUCAAAUUCUUUUGUUCUUAUGAUUCACAUUAUAGACCGACCUUAUCGUCCACGAUAGCGUGGUCCCUCUAUAAUAAGUUCAUGCGUUUUCGUAAGAUACAAAAGUAAUUUAAUAGCUUUUGAUCAAUAAAUAAAAAAGAGUAACAUAAUAGGUAGAAAUAUAUUAUAUAAAGUGUUAAUAUUGUAUCAUAUAUAUUUAUAUAUAUACAUAUAUAUAUAUAUAUCUAUAUUAAAUCAAAUUUGUCUUUACAUAUUUUCUGAUCAUGUCCACGUGCCGGGUGAAAUUAUGUGCCAAGUAUCAUGUAUCUUCGCCACACACACAAAAACACGUAAAUUGAGUGAGUAUUAAUAUAAGUUUCUAUUUAGAGUUGUUACGUUUUUGGGUGGAUGGAACUAUUCAAACAGUGGACGCUAAAGCACUAGGCCGCGAAUAGUUGCGGAUUUGAGGUGUUAUGAACAUAUAAAGUAAAUACUACUAGUACUACGUACGUAAGUGUGUGUUUUGUAGACACACACUAGACUAAAGUUUUCUUUUAUUAAAAGAUUAGACUAAAAUUUUCAAUAUUUAAGAGAUAAAUAUUAUACGUACUAGCAGAGUGGCGAAUGAGGCGAAAGCGAUGGUCUUGAAGCGGCCAAC